AGAGUUUGAUCCUGGCUCAGGACGAACGCUGGCGGCGUGCCUAACACAUGCAAGUCGAACGGAGUUGAAAGGAGCUUGCUUUUUUCAACUCAGUGGCGGACGGGUGAGUAACGCGUGAGUAACCUGCCUUUCAGAGGGGGAUAACGUUCUGAAAAGAACGCUAAUACCGCAUAAGAUUGUAGUUUCGCAUGGGACAGCAAUCAAAGGAGCAAUCCGCUGAAAGAUGGACUCGCGUCCGAUUAGAUAGUUGGUGGGGUAACGGCCCACCAAGUCGACGAUCGGUAGCCGGACUGAGAGGUUGAUCGGCCACAUUGGGACUGAGACACGGCCCAGACUCCUACGGGAGGCAGCAGUGAGGGAUAUUGGGCAAUGGGGGAAACCCUGACCCAGCAACGCCGCGUGAGGGAUGACGGUUUUCGGAUUGUAAACCUCUGUCCUCUGUGAAGAUAGUGACGGUAGCAGAGGAGGAAGCUCCGGCUAACUACGUGCCAGCAGCCGCGGUAAUACGUAGGGAGCAAGCGUUGUCCGGAUUUACUGGGUGUAAAGGGUGCGUAGGCGGCUUUGCAAGUCAGAUGUGAAAUCUAUGGGCUCAACCCAUAAACUGCAUUUGAAACUGUAGAGCUUGAGUGAAGUAGAGGCAGGCGGAAUUCCCCGUGUAGCGGUGAAAUGCGUAGAGAUGGGGAGGAACACCAGUGGCGAAGGCGGCCUGCUGGGCUUUAACUGACGCUGAGGCACGAAAGCGUGGGUAGCAAACAGGAUUAGAUACCCUGGUAGUCCACGCUGUAAACGAUGAUUACUAGGUGUGGGGGGAUUGACCCCUUCCGUGCCGCAGUUAACACAAUAAGUAAUCCACCUGGGGAGUACGACCGCAAGGUUG
rnacentral:rRNA from 1 species